rnacentral:lncRNA from 13 species
CUUCUAUGCUCGCUUCGAGGCAAGUAACACAGAAGCAUGCAUGAGAGCAUCAGCUUUUCCGGACCUUUAAACAGGUCAACAUUCACAAGGCUGCAGGGCCAGACGGAUUAUCAGGACAUAUAAUCCAAGCAUGCUGUGUCCAACUGGCAUUGUCUUCACUGACAUUUUCAACUUCUCCCUGUCUGAGUCUGUAAUACCAACAUGUUCCAAGCAGUCCACCAUAGUCCCUGUGCCCAAGAACACUAAGGUAACCUGCUUAAAUGACUACCAACCCGUAGCACUCAUAUCUGUAGCCACGAAGUGCUUUGAAAGGCUGGUCAUGGCUCACAUCAACACCACCAUCCCGGAAACCCUAGACCCACUCCAAUUUGCAUACGUCCCCAAAAGAUCCACAGAUGAUGCAAUCUCUAUUGCACUCCACACUGCCCUUUCCCACCUGGACAAAAGGAACACCUAUGUGAGAAUGCUAUUCAUUGACUACAGCUCACCAUUCAACACCAUAGCGCCCUCAAAGCUCAUCACUAAGCUAAGGACCCUGGGACUAAACACCUCCCUCUGCAACUGGAUCCUGGACUUCCUGACGGGCCGCCCCCAGGUGGUAAGAGUAGAUAACAACACAUUCGCCAAGCUGAUCCUCAACACGGGGGCCCCUCAGAGGUGCGUGCUCAGUCCCCUCCUGUACUCCCUGUUCACUCAUGACUGCAUGGCCAGGCACGACUCCAAAACCAUCAUUAACUUUGCCGAUGAUACAACAGUGGUAGGCCUGAUCACCAAUAACGACGAGACAGCCUAUAUAUAGGGAGGAGGUCAGAGACAUGGCCGUGUGGUGCCAGUACAACCACCUCCCUCAACGUGAUCAAGACAAAGGAGAUGAUUGUGGACUACAGGAAAAGGAGGACCGAGCAUGCUCCCAGUCUCAUCGACGGGUCGGUAGUGGAGCAGGUUGAGAGCUUCAAGUUCCUUGGUGUCCACAUCACCAACAAACUAACAUGGUCCAUGCACAUCAAGAC